rnacentral:pre_miRNA from 1 species
AGAUUACUCCCUCCGUCCCAUAUUAAGUGACUUUCUAUUACAUGUAUCUAGACACUUUUUAGGUAUAGCUACAUCCAUAUUUGAACAAAUUUGAGUCACUUAUUAUGAGAUGGAGGGAGUAAUAC